UACGAAGGGGGCUAGCGUUGCUCGGAAUCACUGGGCGUAAAGCGCACGUAGGCGGCUUUUAAGUCAGGGGUGAAAUCCUGGAGCUCAACUCCAGAACUGCCUUUGAUACUGAGUAGCUUGAGUCCGGGAGAGGUGAGUGGAACUGCGAGUGUAGAGGUGAAAUUCGUAGAUAUUCGCAAGAACACCAGUGGCGAAGGCGGACUCACUGGCCCGGUACUGACGCUGACGG
rnacentral:rRNA from 1 species